rnacentral:rRNA from 1 species
CCUACGGGUGGCUGCAGUGGGGAAUAUUGGUCAAUGGGCGCAAGCCUGAACCAGCCACGCCGCGUGAGUGAUGAAGGCCUUCGGGUUGUAAAGCUCUGUGGGGAGGGAAGAAAACGGCCGGCUCGAAUAGGGCCGGUCCUUGACGGUACCUCCUUAGCAAGCACCGGCUAACUCUGUGCCAGCAGCCGCGGUAAUACAGAGGGUGCGAACGUUGCUCGGAAUUACUGGGCGUAAAGCGCAUGUAGGCGGGGUCGCAAGUCAGAUGUGAAAUCCCCGAGCUCAACUCGGGAACUGCAUCUGAAACUGCGAUCCUCGAGUACCGGAGAGGGUGGCGGAAUUCCUGGUGUAGAGGUGAAAUUCGUAGAUAUCAGGAGGAACACCGGUGGCGAAGGCGGCCACCUGGACGGUCACUGACGCUGAGAUGCGAAAGCGUGGGGAGC